UUUGCACGCCGUGCGUAACGUGCAUUCUGGCGGUGCCGGGAGCGGGGCGAGGAGGAGGGUGGGUAUGAGGCGGUAGCGGACCGCGGAGUCGAGACCUACCCGAACGACGCGGGCGAGCGGGGCUUUGGACGCCGGUGGAGACGCAGGCGAGGGCUGCUGUAAAAUAUUACAGGCAUACUUUGGAGAUGUUAUGGGUUUGGUUCCACAUCACUGCAAUAAAAUGGAGCCUCGCUCUGUCGCCAAGACUGGAGUUCAGCGGCACGAUCUCGGCUCACUGCAAGCUCCACCUCCGAGGUUCACGCCAUUCUCCUGCCUCAGCCUCCCAAGUAGCUGGGACUACAGACUCCAGCGGGAGGAAGAAGAGGCCUUUGCCAGCAGUCAGAGCAGCCAAGGGGCCCAAUCCCUCACAUUCUCCAAGUUUGAAGGAAAGAAAACCAACAAGAAGACCCGCAAGGUUACCACAGUGAAGAAAUCUUCAGUACGUCUUCCAGGGUCGGAUCAAAGAAGGGCUGGAGUGCAAUGGCGCGAUCUCGGCUCACUGCAACCUCCACCUAUUGGGUUCAAGUGAUUCUCCUGCCUCAGCCUCCCAAUAGCUGGGAUUACAGAUAUUGAAAUGGAUUCCAGGCGUGUGCCUCGAGACAAGCUGGCCUGCAUCACCAAGUGCAGCAAGCACAUCUUCGAUGCCAUCAAGAUCACCUAGAACGAGCUGGCGUCAGCAGAUGACUUCCUCCCCACCCUCAUCUACAUUGUUUUGAAGGGCAACCCCCAUGCCUUCAGUCUAAUAUCCAGUAUAUCACGUGCUUCUGCAAUCCAAGCCGACUGAUGACUGGAGAGGAUGGCUACUAUUUCACCAAUCUGAGACGGGGGCAGUCUCACUACAUGGCCCAGAGGCUGGGCACUCACUGCAGCUGGCUAAUGAUGACCAUGUGGACAUGCUUUCGGGCCUUCAGGAUCUUCUCCAGCCAGUGGAUGUCGAUUCUCAGCAGGCAUGGCCGUGGGUGCACAGAACAGAGAAAGGAUGGCCUGGACCACACACAUCACUGUGUGCAGAUGCUUUCCUAGACACUGCAGCCAAGGACACAGAGGCUCAGAGAGAAUAACCUCCAUCUCCUGGGUCCCAGCGAUUCUCCUGCCUCAGCCUCUUCCUAUUUCACAAGUAGGGAAACUGAAGCCCAGCAAGCCCUACAUGAAGAGGCCUCUUUGGUGAGUGGCAGCUCAACCUCUGCUAAAUGCCUCCAGUGAUGGGGAGUUCACUACCUUCCAAAGUUUUUAAAAGAUGUUAACCACUGCUAUUCAAGAACAAUUCUAGAAUUUUUUUUUUUUUGAAAGACAAGGUCUCAUUCUGUCUCGCAGGCCAGAGUGCAGUGGUGUGAUCAUAGCUCACUGCAGCUUUGACUUCCUGGGCUCAAGCAAUCCUCCCUCCUCAGCCUCCUGAGUACCUGAGACUACAGAUGUGCACCACCACACUGGCUCAUUGUUUUCAUUUUUUGUAGAGACAGGAUCUCACUAUGUUGCCCAGGCUGGUCUCCUGGCUUCAAGCAAUCCUCCUGCCUUGGCCUCCCAAAGUGCUGGGAUUACAGGCGUGAGCCACUGCAUCUGGCCUUUUUUUUUUGGAGAUAGAGUCUCGCUCUGUCGCCCAGGGUGGAGUGCAGUGGCGUGAUCUCGGCUCAUUGCAACCUCCGCCUUCCGGGUUCACACCAUUCUCCUGCCUCAGCCUCCCGAGUAGCUGGGAUUACAGGCAUCUGCCAACCAUGCCUGGCUAAUUUUUGUAUUUUUUGGUGGAGACAGGGUCUCACCAUGUUGGCUAGGCUGGUUUCGAACUCCCGACCUCAGGUGAUCUACCCGCCUCAGCCUCCCAAAGUCCUGGGAUUACAGGCUGAGCCACCGCGACCGGCCCUGCUGUUGCUUCUGAGGUUUGAAAACCGCUGCCUCAAUGCUCCUGAUUCAGCUCUUCUUACCCAAAGGUUCCCCCACCUCAUCUACUCUGUUCCUGCACAGUCGCCCUUUUCUCUGAUGCCCCGGGCAGGUUUCUCUCUGCCAGCUCCACGCUUCUGGAGUCCCCCAUCCGUCUUGGGGCCCAGCUGCCCACUGUCUGGGUUCAGACCUUCUCAACACUCCCUGGCUUCUCUGCCCUAGUUUUGCCUUCUCCAAUCCACUCUUGGUGGGUGGAAGUACGGUUACCAUGGUAACUUGAAGACAACGCAAAUCUGAUUGUAUCAUUACAAUGACUGGGAAAACCUCCAGUGCCACAAAAUAAAGCUCAAGUCACUA